UACGGGGGGGGCAAGCGUUGUUCGGAAUUACUGGGCGUAAAGGGCUCGUAGGCGGCCAACUAAGUCAUACGUGAAAUCCCUCGGCUUAACCGGGGAACUGCGUCUGAUACUGGAUGGCUUGAGAUUGGGAGAGGGAUGCGGAAUUCCAGGUGUAGAGGUGAAAUGCGUAGAUAUCUGGAGGAACACCGGUGGCGAAGGCGGCAUCCUGGACCAACACUGACGCUGAGGAGCGAAAGCCAGGGGAGCAAACGGG
rnacentral:rRNA from 1 species